AUGACAAGACGAGUCUUGCCACACUCAUCAGGUGAAUUUAAAUAACGUUAUUUAAAUUCACCUGAUGAGUGUGGCAAGACUCUUCUUGUCAU